AAUGGUUCUUUUCGGGAUAGGUGUCGAUGGGCGUAGUUCGAAGCAUUCAAAUAAGGUGUGUACAGCGAGAAUUCUCAUUUCACUUGUGCGUUCUGCGAAAGAACAACGGUUUUUCGAUUUGCUACGAGCGGAGCUAACUCUAGCAAAAAUUAGCUCAACUGCAAUGGCGCAGAGGAAGAUGUCAGAUGUGGAGGCGCUGUAAGAAAUAUUUCGGAGCGAUGUGGAGCUGGAAAACUCUUCUUAUAGCUAGUGGGAUUCGGAGGAGGAGGAAGAGGAGAGAGCCGGAGAGGAGAGACCCCCUGAGAGCCGGACACAGCUGACAGACAGCUGACAGACUUGAUCUCGGUGAUCUUCAAGUGGAAGCCGAACCAUCAAGCUCAGAUGGAGCUGAACCUCCCCCCACCUCUCAUGAUUCUUCAUCUUCUUUGAGGUAAGAUGUCCAUUAUGCCAAAAAAAUUGCAAAAUUGUUUAUUUGUUCUUGGAAAUUACUUCAAAAAGUAUUUUUGACUGUUUUACCUUGUUUCAAUAAAAGUUUUCUAUUUGGAGUCAAAGAAAGAGCUUUUAGUUCAUCAUUAUUAUACAUAUUAUACUGUGCACAAUGGUACAUUUUGCAUAUAAAUGGGGUAAAUGUCAUGACCAAUGGUUAUAUUAUAUGUAGAAAGUGUCAUUAGAUGGUAAUAAGCUAUUUAAUUUUAACAAACCCCCAGUAUUGAUGUAA